UAACUUUGAAACCAAAGUAUUUAGAGCAAAUCUGACAAGGUGUUAAAUUGUUUAUCAAGUCAAUAUCUAUCUGCCCUGAAAUUUUCAGAUGAAUUUGACAACUGGUUGUUGUGUUGCUGCCCCCCAAUUAGUAAUUUUUAAGGAAAUUUUUCCGUUUUUGGUUAUUAUCUUGAAUACUAUUAUAGAUAGAGAUAAACUGUAAACUGCAAUAAUGUUCAGCAAAGUCAGAUCUACAAAUAAGUCAAACAUGACAAAAAUGGUCAGUUGACCUCUUGAGGAGUUAUUGCCCUUUAUAGUCAAUUUUUAACAAUUUUCAUUACUUA
rnacentral:lncRNA from 1 species